UACGGAGGGGGCUAGCGUUGUUCGGAAUUACUGGGCGUAAAGCGCGCGUAGGCGGCUUAGCAAGUUAGAGGUGAAAGCCCGAAGCUCAACUUCGGAAUUGCCUUUAAAACUGCAAAGCUAGAAUCAUGGAGAGGUGAGUGGAAUUCCGAGUGUAGAGGUGAAAUUCGUAGAUAUUCGGAAGAACACCAGUGGCGAAGGCGACUCACUGGACAUGUAUUGACGCUGAGGUGCGAAAGCGUGGGGAGCAGACAGG
rnacentral:rRNA from 1 species